rnacentral:rRNA from 1 species
UGUACGUACAAGCAGUGGGAGCCCCACCACUAAGCCAGUGGUGAACUCCACAUACGCAUCCUUUGCUGAAGGCAAUGGUUAACGGAGCGAAAGCGACGUUCAACCGCAAAACAAGCAGAGGGGGCUUAGUGGUGGGGUGACUGCGUACCUUUUGUAUAAUGGGUCAGCGACUUAUAUUCUGUAGCAAGGUUAACCGUAUAGGGGAGCCGGAGGGAAACCGAGUCUUAAUUGGGCGUUAAGUUGCAGGGUAUAGACCCGAAACCCGGUGAUCUAGCCAUGGGCAGGUUGAAGGUUGGGUAACACUAACUGGAGGACCGAACCGACUAAUGUUGAAAAAUUAGCGGAUGACCUGUGGCUGGGGGUGAAAGGCCAAUCAAACCGGGAGAUAGCUGGUUCUCCCCGAAAGCUAUUUAGGUAGCGCCUCGUGAAUUCAUCUCCGGGGGUAGAGCACUGUUUCGGCUAGGGGGCCAUCCCGGCUUACCAACCCGAUGCAAACUGCGAAUACCGGAGAAUGUUAUCACGGGAGACACACGGCGGGUGCUAACGUCCGUCGUGAAGAGGGAAACAACCCAGACCGCCAGCUAAGGUCCCAAAGUCAUGGUUAAGUGGGAAACGAUGUGGGAAGGCCCAGACAGCCAGGAUGUUGGCUUAGAAGCAGCCAUCAUUUAAAGAAAGCGUAAUAGCUCACUGGUCGAGUCGGCCUGCGCGGAAGAUGUAACGGGGCUAAACCAU